rnacentral:rRNA from 1 species
UACGAAGGGGGCGAGCGUUGUUCGGAAUUACUGGGCGUAAAGGGCGCGCAGGCGGCGAGUUUUGUCAGGCGUGAAAGCCCCGGGCUCAACCUGGGAACUGCGCUUGAAACGGGCUUGCUGGAGACCGGGAGAGGAGAGUGGAAUUCCCAGUGUAGAGGUGAAAUUCGUAGAUAUUGGGAAGAACACCGGUGGCGAAGGCGGCUCUCUGGACCGGAUCUGACGCUGAGGCGCGAAAGCGUGGGGAGCGAACAGG